rnacentral:lncRNA from 1 species
GAUACGCUGCCCGUCCCGGACGUCUUUCAGUUCCUGGAGGGGGGGGAGUUGGGUACAAUGGGUUUGGGGUCUGUGGGGGGGGAUUUGGGGAUCACUGGGGCCAGUAUUGGGGCUCUGGGGUUGACGGUGGGGUGGUGCUGGGAAUGCUGGGGUCUCGGGGGAUACAGUGAACUCUCCAGGGAAAAAUUUUGGGGUCCCCAAGAGGAAAACAGGGGUGGGAAAAGGGGAAACCGGUAUUUCCAUGGGAGAUCUGGGGAUCCUGGUGGGGAUGUUGGGGUCCCGGCCUGGAUUACAGCGUCUCCAGAGAACAUGGAGGGGUCCUGGGAAGGACUGUGGGGUUCUUGGGGGUGGGGGGCUCACAGUACCGCACCUGGCGCAGCGCCCGGCCCUCCGCCUCCUGCAGCUCCCGCUGCCGCUCCGCGUCCCCCAGCAACGCCCGCAGCUCCCCAACGCCCACCUCCAGCUCGGCGCGGUGCUGCUCCCGGUGGGCGCGGGCGGCCGCCAUGUGCUCCUGCGCCUGCAGCUCCAGCAGCUCCUGCGGUGGGGACAGGAAUUUGAGGCGGGGAUUGAAGGGUUGGGGGGCAGGGGGUGAGGAUUUCAGGGUACGAGACAACAACUUUGGGACACAAAACGAGAAAUUGGGGCACGGGGUAAAGAUUUAGGGUCAGGGAGCGAGGAUUUGAGGUGGGGGUGAUGAGGCUUCGGGGAGGGGGCUCUGACCUGCGCCUGCCGCAGGCGCUGCUCCGUGUCCCCCUGUGAGUCCUCGGCCGCCGCCAGGCGCUGCCGCAGCUCCUCCUGCUCCUGGGAGUGCUCCUAUGGGGCAGCCGAAGGCGGAGACCCCAAAUUCACCCCCGUGGAUCCCAGCCCCCCCAAGGAUGGGACGAGGGGGGCUCAGCACCUCCCUGAGCUCCCCCCAGGACCCUACUGGCCCCACCUGGAGCUGAGCCUCAAGGGCGUCGCGUCGGCUCUGGGCCUCCUGCAGCUCCCGGCUGAGACUCUCGCUCUGCUCCCGCAGCCCCCUCUCCACCUGCCCCUCCCCAAAAGAAAAACCCCAUAGGGGCUGCGGGGCCACCCAGAGCCCUACGGAACCGCACAGCCCCACCCCGGGCCCCCCCGACCUGUGCCGCAGCCUCCAGCUCCUGCUGUAGCCGCCUCUUCUGCUCCUGCAGCUCCCGAAUUUCCUCCUCUGCCUCUGCCCUGGGGGUGGCGCAGGUCGGGUGGGGUCUCGAGGCUUUGAGACCCCCCCACUGCCCCCCCAGCCCCCUUCUACCUUCGGGCGUUGCUCAGCGCAUCUUUUUCUGCCUGGAGCUGCUGCAAACUUGGGCGGAAAAAAAAAACAAACAUGAAAUUGGUUCCAUCAAACCCAACCCAACGCCUCCGUGCGCCCCCCCCCCCGGACACCCCCCUCACCUCUCAUCCUUUUUCCUCAGCUCCUCCGUCAGCUGCAGAGAACAGAAAUCACCAUUAAGGC